GACGAACGCUGGCGGCGUGCCUAAUACAUGCAAGUAGAACGCUGAAGGAGGAGCUUGCUUCUCUGGAUGAGUUGCGAACGGGUGAGUAACGCGUAGGUAACCUGCCUGGUAGCGGGGGAUAACUAUUGGAAACGAUAGCUAAUAUCGCAUAAGAGUAGAUGUCGCAUGACAUUUGCUUAAAAGGUGCAAUUGCAUCACUACCAGAUGGACCUGCGUUGUAUUAGCUAGUUGGUGAGGUAACGGCUCACCAAGGCAACGAUACAUAGCCGACCUGAGAGGGUGAUCGGCCACACUGGGACUGAGACACGGCCCAGACUCCUACGGGAGGCAGCAGUAGGGAAUCUUCGGCAAUGGACGGAAGUCUGACCGAGCAACGCCGCGUGAGUGAAGAAGGUUUUCGGAUCGUAAAGCUCUGUUGUAAGAGAAGAACGAGUGUGAGAGUGGAAAGUUCACACUGUGACGGUAGCUUACCAGAAAGGGACGGCUAACUACGUG
rnacentral:rRNA from 1 species